CUUGUGCUUGUUCCUGAACUAAAUAUUGCGCAUGCUUUUCAGGCAUUUUAAAUUGCCUGUAUUACGUGACUGAUCUUAUAUUUUGGAAAUCCACCACUGAGUAAGAAGAGUUUUGUAGCAUUGAAGAUUCUCAAUUAUGAAAUCGUUCGGUUUGUGCGUUGUUUUACUGGCGUUUAUUCCGUUUUUCACUACAGCGUUUCGAAAGGAUUAUCCUUACAAGACAGUUGGACACCAUGACAUACUUGCCCGGCUGUUAUAUCCUACCAUCACAUUCCCCUGUUCUGAAAUGCCAAACGUUUGUGCAAACAUGAGAAACGCCAUUCAAAAAGGCAAACCAACACAACUCUAUUACCUCAAAAAUAAAUCCCAAACUGAUAAAAAUAGAAGAGCCUCUGGUUGUCCAAAAUUACAAAAAGACCAUGGAAAUCCGACCACAAGUUGUGACGAGUAUCCCUUUGCGUCAACCCAACAAGGUGGAGCCGGUGCUUUUAUAAGGCUUGUUCCAAGAGUUGAAAACAGCAGACAAGGUGGUUAUUUGAGCGCAUUUUACCAAAAGAACAUCCCAAAUGGGGGUUAUUUUAAUGUCGCACUCAAACCAUAAAUAUUUUUAUUAAUUCUAAUUGUAUUUGAGAUGGUAUCCUAUCUUAAAUGUUAUUAAUUGUACUUUGCAUGCGUAACUUGAUUUUUGAAUUUGAAAACUGAAUUUUGUAAUUUUGUUUUUUCUUUUUGCUUGGAAUGACGAAAUAAACAUUU